GAUGAACGCUGGCGGCGUGCCUAAUACAUGCAAGUCGAGCGAACAGACGAGGAGCUUGCUCCUCUGACGUUAGCGGCGGACGGGUGAGUAACACGUGGAUAACCUACCUGUAAGACUGGGAGAACUUCGGGAAACCGGAGCUAAUACCGGACAAUAUAAUGAACCGCAUGGUUCAAUAGUGAAAGACGGUUUUGCUGGCACUUAUAGAUGGAUCCGCGUCGCAUUAACUAGUUGGUAAGGUAACGGCUUACCAAGGAAACGAUGCGUCGCCGACCGGAGAGGGUGCUCGGCCACACUGGUACUGAGACACGCUCCAGCCUCCUACGGGCGGCAGCCGUAGGCCCUCUUCCGCCAGGGGCGAAGACUUGACGGAGCAGCGCCGCGUGCGUGAUGAGGGUCUUCGGAUCGUAAAACUCUGUUAUUAGGGAAGAUCAAAUGUGUAAGUAACUAUGCCCGUCUUGACGGUACCUAAUCAGAAAGCCCCGGCUAACUACGUG
rnacentral:rRNA from 1 species